rnacentral:rRNA from 1 species
UACGAAGGGGGCAAGCGUUGUUCGGAAUUAUUGGGCGUAAAGCGCGUGUAGGCGGCUUUCUAAGUCAGGUGUGAAAUCCUGGAGCUCAACUCCAGAACUGCCUUUGAUACUGGCGACCUUGAGUCCGGGAGAGGUGAGUGGAACUGCGAGUGUAGAGGUGAAAUUCGUAGAUAUUCGCAAGAACACCAGUGGCGAAGGCGGCUCACUGGCCCGGUACUGACGCUGAGGUGCGAAAGCGUGGGGAGCAAACAGG